rnacentral:rRNA from 1 species
UACGUAGGUGGCAAGCGUUAUCCGGAAUGAUUGGGCGUAAAGCGUCCGCAGGUGGCUGUGUAAGUCUGCUGUCAAAGAGCAAAGCUCAACUUUGUAAAGGCAGUGGAAACUACACGGCUAGAGUGCGUUCGGGGCAGAGGGAAUUCCUGGUGUAGCGGUGAAAUGCGUAGAGAUCAGGAAGAACACCGGUGGCGAAGGCGCUCUGCUAGGCCGCAACUGACACUGAGGGACGAAAGCUAGGGGAGCGAAUGGG